AGCCCCGUAGUGUAGCGGUCAAGCANNACCCAGGUUCGAAUCCUGGCGGGGCUA
rnacentral:tRNA from 1 species